rnacentral:rRNA from 1 species
GUUAAGCGACUAAGCGUACACGGUGGAUGCCCUGGCAGUCAGAGGCGAUGAAGGACGUGCUAAUCUGCGAUAAGCGUCGGUGAGGUGAUAUGAACCGUUAUAACCGGCGAUUUCCGAAUGGGGAAACCCAGUGUGUUUCGACACACUAUCAUUAACUGAAUCCAUAGGUUAAUGAGGCGAACCGGGGGAACUGAAACAUCUAAGUACCCCGAGGAAAAGAAAUCAACCGAGAUUCCCCCAGUAGCGGCGAGCGAACGGGGAGGAGCCCAGAGCCUGAAUCAGUGUGUGUGUUAGUGGAAGCGUCUGGAAAGGCGCGCGAUACAGGGUGACAGCCCCGUACACAAAAAUGCACAUAUUGUGAGCUCGAUGAGUAGGGCGGGACACGUGGUAUCCUGUCUGAAUAUGGGGGGACCAUCCUCCAAGGCUAAAUACUCCUGACUGACCGAUAGUGAACCAGUACCGUGAGGGAAAGGCGAAAAGAACCCCGGCGAGGGGAGUGAAAAAGAACCUGAAACCGUGUACGUACAAGCAGUGGGAGCCUCUUUAUGGGGUGACUGCGUACCUUUUGUAUAAUGGGUCAGCGACUUAUAUUCUGUAGCAAGGUUAACCGAAUAGGGGAGCCGAAGGGAAACCGAGUCUUAACUGGGCGUUAAGUUGCAGGGUAUAGACCCGAAACCCGGUGAUCUAGCCAUGGGCAGGUUGAAGGUUGGGUAACACUAACUGGAGGACCGAACCGACUAAUGUUGAAAAAUUAGCGGAUGACUUGUGGCUGGGGGUGAAAGGCCAAUCAAACCGGGAGAUAGCUGGUUCUCCCCGAAAGCUAUUUAGGUAGCGCCUCGUGAAUUCAUCUCCGGGGGUAGAGCACUGUUUCGGCAAGGGGGUCAUCCCGACUUACCAACCCGAUGCAAACUGCGAAUACCGGAGAAUGUUAUCACGGGAGACACACGGCGGGUGCUAACGUCCGUCGUGAAGAGGGAAACAACCCAGACCGCCAGCUAAGGUCCCAAAGUCAUGGUUAAGUGGGAAACGAUGUGGGAAGGCCCAGACAGCCAGGAUGUUGGCUUAGAAGCAGCCAUCAUUUAAAGAAAGCGUAAUAGCUCACUGGUCGAGUCGGCCUGCGCGGAAGAUGUAACGGGGCUAAACCAUGCACCGAAGCUGCGGCAGCGACACUAUGUGUUGUUGGGUAGGGGAGCGUUCUGUAAGCCUGUGAAGGUGGCCUGUGAGGGUUGCUGGAGGUAUCAGAAGUGCGAAUGCUGACAUAAGUAACGAUAAAGCGGGUGAAAAGCCCGCUCGCCGGAAGACCAAGGGUUCCUGUCCAACGUUAAUCGGGGCAGGGUGAGUCGACCCCUAAGGCGAGGCCGAAAGGCGUAGUCGAUGGGAAACAGGUUAAUAUUCCUGUACUUGGUGUUACUGCGAAGGGGGGACGGAGAAGGCUAUGUUGGCCGGGCGACGGUUGUCCCGGUUUAAGCGUGUAGGCUGGUUUUCCAGGCAAAUCCGGAAAACCAAGGCUGAGGCGUGAUGACGAGGCACUACGGUGCUGAAGCGACAAAUGCCCUGCUUCCAGGAAAAGCCUCUAAGCAUCAGGUAACAUCAAAUCGUACCCCAAACCGACACAGGUGGUCAGGUAGAGAAUACCAAGGCGCUUGAGAGAACUCGGGUGAAGGAACUAGGCAAAAUGGUGCCGUAACUUCGGGAGAAGGCACGCUGAUAUGUAGGUGAAGCGACUUGCUCGUGGAGCUGAAAUCAGUCGAAGAUACCAGCUGGCUGCAACUGUUUAUUAAAAACACAGCACUGUGCAAACACGAAAGUGGACGUAUACGGUGUGACGCCUGCCCGGUGCCGGAAGGUUAAUUGAUGGGGUUAGCGGUAACGCGAAGCUCUUGAUCGAAGCCCCGGUAAACGGCGGCCGUAACUAUAACGGUCCUAAGGUAGCGAAAUUCCUUGUCGGGUAAGUUCCGACCUGCACGAAUGGCGUAAUGAUGGCCAGGCUGUCUCCACCCGAGACUCAGUGAAAUUGAACUCGCUGUGAAGAUGCAGUGUACCCGCGGCAAGACGGAAAGACCCCGUGAACCUUUACUAUAGCUUGACACUGAACAUUGAGCCUUGAUGUGUAGGAUAGGUGGGAGGCUUUGAAGUGUGGACGCCAGUCUGCAUGGAGCCGACCUUGAAAUACCACCCUUUAAUGUUUGAUGUUCUAACGUUGGCCCGUAAUCCGGGUUGCGGACAGUGUCUGGUGGGUAGUUUGACUGGGGCGGUCUCCUCCUAAAGAGUAACGGAGGAGCACGAAGGUUGGCUAAUCCUGGUCGGACAUCAGGAGGUUAGUGCAAUGGCAUAAGCCAGCUUGACUGCGAGCGUGACGGCGCGAGCAGGUGCGAAAGCAGGUCAUAGUGAUCCGGUGGUUCUGAAUGGAAGGGCCAUCGCUCAACGGAUAAAAGGUACUCCGGGGAUAACAGGCUGAUACCGCCCAAGAGUUCAUAUCGACGGCGGUGUUUGGCACCUCGAUGUCGGCUCAUCACAUCCUGGGGCUGAAGUAGGUCCCAAGGGUAUGGCUGUUCGCCAUUUAAAGUGGUACGCGAGCUGGGUUUAGAACGUCGUGAGACAGUUCGGUCCCUAUCUGCCGUGGGCGCUGGAGAACUGAGGGGGGCUGC